GUGGGGAAUAUUGGGCAAUGGGCGGAAGCCUGACGCAGCCAUGCCGCGUGAAUGAUGAAGGUCUUAGGAUUGUAAAAUUCUUUCACCGGGGACGAUAAUGACGGUACCCGGAGAAGAAGCUCCGGCUAACUUCGUGCCAGCAGCCGCGGUAAUACGAAGGGGGCUAGCGUUGCUCGGAAUUACUGGGCGUAAAGGGCGCGUAGGCGGACAGCUUAGUCAGAGGUGAAAGCCCAGGGCUCAACCUUGGAAUUGCCUUUGAUACUGGCUGUCUUGAGUUUGGGAGAGGUGAGUGGAACUCCGAGUGUAGAGGUGAAAUUCGUAGAUAUUCGGAAGAACACCAGUGGCGAAGGCGACUCACUGGCCCAAUACUGACGCUGAGGCGCGAAAGCGUGGGGAGCAAACAGGAUUAGAAACCCUGGUAGUCC
rnacentral:rRNA from 1 species